UACGUAGGGUGCGAGCGUUGUCCGGAAUUAUUGGGCGUAAAGGGCUCGUAGGCGGUUUGUCGCGUCGGGAGUGAAAACUCAGGGCUUAACCCUGAGCCUGCUUCCGAUACGGGCAGACUAGAGGUAUGCAGGGGAGAACGGAAUUCCUGGUGUAGCGGUGAAAUGCGCAGAUAUCAGGAGGAACACCGGUGGCGAAGGCGGUUCUCUAGGCAUUACCUGACGCUGAGGAGCGAAAGUGUGGGGAGCGAACAGG
rnacentral:rRNA from 1 species